GGCCUCGUGGCGCAAUGGAUAGCGCAUCAGACUUCGGAUCUGAGGGUUGCAGGUUCGAGUCCUGCCGUGGUCA